ACCAGAUGAGUCACCAUCUUCUGCACUCUCACUGCUGUCUAUUAAAAGUUGAUCAGUCAGUGGAUAGACAGACUGCAUUCAACAAUGGAGCAAAGUUUCAUGGGAGAGAAGGCGAGAUCAGAAGAGGCACCAUCUCCAGCACUCUCACACCUGUCUAUGAAAAGUGAUCAGUCAAUGGAUCGCCCAAUUGCGUUCAACAAUGAAACCCCUAGUUAUAUUAGUCUAAGACCAGAUAAGGCACCGUCUCCUGCAACCUCAAACUUCUCUUUAAAAAGCAACAACU